CACCGCCCGUCACACCAUAGGAGUUUGCUGCACCAGAAGCAGGUAGCUUAACCGCAAGGGGGGCGCUUGCCACGGUGUGGCCGAUGACUGGGGUG
rnacentral:rRNA from 1 species